rnacentral:lncRNA from 12 species
AUUCUCCGAAUUUAAAAAUGAUUAAGCUCUUGGUGAGGGCAGGCAUGAGCCUCUCCUCUUCAGGGCUGAAUGUGCUGCUGGUAGAAGGCUGAGAUGGGAGAUAGCAGAAGUUCAUGACUGCCAGUAGCAAAUCCUGUGGGAAAAUCAAAGGCAGAGUUGUUAAGGAUCAUCUUCUCAGAACCACGACUGGGAAUGGUGAGCCCUGCAGCGUCCACCUUGUAGGUGGGUGAGAUGGGGUGCAAUGCAAUGUAUCUACACAGAACACCCUGGAAGGAGAGGGUGCUAGGGCAGGAAUCCCAUCCUGCACAGCAGGAGAACGCUGUGGCUUGGGUGGUGCAGAGCUGUCUCCUUGCUGCUCUCCACAAUCUUGGGUAAGGUGGGUCUGCUUUUGCCAACUGAGGGAAAUGCAACUGCUCUUGGAGAUUAAGACAGGCAGAGAGUGAUUAGGACCUAUGAGCCACCACCAGCUCUGAGACAGAACUGCUCCUGGCAGUAUAUUCCCAAGCACUUCAUUAGAUUUAAUUUUAAAUUCCCCUCUCACUGUCAUGUUCUCUGCUUCCUCCAGGACGUUUGGUCCAUUUGUGCAAUUAGGGAUUCAACACAGCAGACCACUUGAAAAACAUCAGUCCGAAGGGCAUCUCACUGACAGCUGAUGUGACUUCUCUCUUACUCCACCAGAAAAGCUGCAGGAAAAACAGUAAGAAUGUCCGGGUGUGUCCUUUUCUGCAGAAACUUCCU